rnacentral:misc_RNA from 1 species
UCCGGCUUGUCGCCGGCGGUCCCUCUAGAGUGCCCAGCAUAACCUGAUGGCAACUAGUAGCGAGGGUUGCGCUCGUUGCGGGACUUAACCCAACAUCUCACGACACGUGCUGACGACAGCCAUGCAGCACCUGUGUUCCAGCCAGCCGAACUGAAGGACCGCAUCUCUGCAGCCCAAACUGGACAUGUCAAAGGCUGGUAAGGUUCUGCGCGUUGCUUCGAAUUGAACCACAUGCUCCACCGCUUGUGCGGGCCCCCGUCAAUUCCUUUGAGUUUUAAUCUUGCGACCGUACUCCCCAGGCGGGAUGCUUAAUGCGUUAGCUGCGCCACUGAAGGGUAAACCCACCAACGGCUAGUACUCAUCGUUUACAGCGUGGACUAC